rnacentral:rRNA from 1 species
UACGGGGGGGGCAAGCGUUGUUCGGAAUUACUGGGCGUAAAGGGCUCGUAGGCGGCCAACUAAGUCAGACGUGAAAAUCCCCUCGGCUUAACCGGGGAACUGCGUCUGAUACUGGAUGGCUUGAGUUCGGGAGAGGGGAUGCGGAAUUCCAGGUGUAGCGGUGAAAUGCGUAGAUAUCUGGAGGAACACCGGUGGCGAAGGCGGCAUCCUGGACCGACACUGACGCUGAGGAGCGAAAAGCCAGGGGAGCAAACGGGG